rnacentral:rRNA from 1 species
UUGGAGGGCAAGUCUGGUGCCAGCAGCCGCGGUAAUUCCAGCUCCAAUAGCGUAUAUUAAAGUUGUUGCAGUUAAAAAGCUCGUAGUUGAACCUUGGGCCUGGCUGGCCGGUCCGCCUCACCGCGUGUACUGGUCCGGCCGGGCCUUUCCUUCUGGGGAACCUCAUGCCCUUCACUGGGCGUGUUGGGGAACCAGGACUUUUACUUGAAAAAAUUGAGUGUUCAAAGCAGGCCUUUGCUCGAAUACAUUAGCAUGGAAUAUAGAAUAGGACGUGUGGUU